rnacentral:rRNA from 1 species
GACGAACGCUGGCGGCGUGCCUAAUACAUGCAAGUUGAGCGCUGAAGGUUGGUACUUGUACCAACUGGAUGAGCAGCGAACGGGUGAGUAACGCGUGGGGAAUCUGCCUUUGAGCGGGGGACAACAUUUGGAAACGAAUGCUAAUACCGCAUAAAAACUUUAAACACAAGUUUUAAGUUUGAAAGAUGCAAUUGCAUCACUCAAAGAUGAUCCCGCGUUGUAUUAGCUAGUUGGUGAGGUAAAGGCUCACCAAGGCGAUGAUACAUAGCCGACGUGAGAGGGUGAUCGGCCACAUUGGGACUGAGACACGGCCCAAACGCCUACGGGAGGCAGCAGUAGGGAAUCUUCGGCAAGGGACGAAAGUCUGACCGAGCAACGCCGCGUGAGUGAAGAAGGUUUUCGGAUCGUAAAACUCUGUUGGUAGAGAAGAACGUUGGUGAGAGUGGAAAGCUCAUCAAGUGACGGUAACUACCCAGAAAGGGACGGCUAACUACGUG